AGUGAACGCUGGCGGUUGGCCUAACACAUGCAAGUCGAACGGCAGCACAGUAAGAGCUGGCUCUUACGGGUGGCGAGUGGCGGACGGGUGAGGAAUACAUCGGAAUCUACUUUUUCGUGGGGGAUAACGUAGGGAAACUUACGCUAAUACCGCAUACGACCUACGGGUGAAAGCAGGGGAUCUUCGGACCUUGCGCGAUUGAAUGAGCCGAUGUCGGAUUAGCUAGUUGGCGGGGUAAAGGCCCACCAAGGCGACGAGCCGUAGCUGGUCUGAGAGGAUGAUCAGCCACACUGGAACUGAGACACGGUCCAGACUCCUACGGGAGGCAGCAGUGGGGAAUAUUCGACAAUGGGCGCAAGCCUGAUCCAGCCAUACCGCGUGGGUGAAGAAGGCCUUCGGGUUGUAAAGCCCUUUUGUUGGGAAAGAAAAGCAGCAGGUUAAUACCCCGCUGUUCUGACGGUACCCAAAGAAUAAGCACCGGCUAACUUCGUG
rnacentral:rRNA from 1 species